GACGAACGCUGGCGGCGUGCCUAAUACAUGCAAGUCGAACGCAGUGGGGACGGGUGAGUAACACGUGGGUAACCUCCCAUCAGAGGGGAAAACACUUGGAAAAAGGUGCUAAACCGAUACUGAUGGAUGGACCCGCGGUGCAUUAGCUAGUUGGUGAGGUAACGGUUCACCAAGGCCACGAUGCAUAACCGCCCGGAGAGGUUGUGCGGCCACACUGGGACUGAUAACGGGCCCAGACUCCUGAGGGAGGAAGCCGUAGGGAAUGUUCGGCAGUGGACGAAAGUCUGACCGGGCAACGCCGCGUGAGUUAAGAAGGUUUUCGGGUCGUAAAACUCUGUUGUUAGGGAAGCGGUAUCUAACCAGAAAGCCACGGCUAACUACGUGCCAGCAGCCGCGGUAAUUC
rnacentral:rRNA from 1 species